AUACGAAAGGUGCAAGCGUUGUUCGGAUUUACUGGGCGUAAAGAGAGUGUAGGUGGUUUAUUAAGUCGGAUGUGAAAUCCCGGGGCUCAACCUCGGAACUGCAUUCGAUACUGGUAGACUAGAGUUCGGGAGGGGUAAGCGGAAUUCCGUGUGUAGCAGUGAAAUGCGUAGAUAUACGGAGGAACACCUGAGGCGAAGGCGGCUUACUGGACCGACACUGACACUGAGACUCGAAAGCGUGGGUAGCAAACAGGAUUAGAUACCCCAGUAGUCC
rnacentral:rRNA from 1 species